UCCCCGGUAGCUCAAUGGUAGAGCAAACGGCUGUUAACCGUUAGGUUGGUGGUUCGAGUCCGCCCCGGGGAGCCA
rnacentral:tRNA from 1 species